rnacentral:snRNA from 1 species
GCAGCUCAAGGUGAUCUGGCUGUGACAUCUGUCAUCCCAUUGAUCGCCAGGGUUGACUUGGCUGAUCUGGCUGGCUAGGCACAGAUGCUUCCUCCCUUGAUGCUCCAUGUGUGUCCCUCCAGAAGCUACGUGCUUCCUUGGUCAAAGAGAACAAGCACCCCCAAUAGAGGACCAUUCUUUGGUCAAGGGUAUACAAGUAGCUGCACACCUCUGCUAGAACCUACAAAGAAGCUCUCAAGGUCCAAGUAGCAGCUCAAAGAAGGGGCUGAUAGCACAAAAAGUCCCCUUUACUCUCCAAAUUUUUCCCUACUUAGUUUGAAAGGUGUAAAUAAUU